rnacentral:rRNA from 1 species
UACGUAGGUGGCAAGCGUUGUCCGGAAUUACUGGGCGUAAAGGGCUCGUAGGCGGCCAACUAAGUCAGACGUGAAAUCCCUCAGCUUAACUGGGGAACUGCGUCUGAUACUGGAUGGCUUGGAUCCGGGAGAGGGAUGCGGAAUUCCAGGUGUAGCGGUGAAAUGCGUAGAUAUCUGGAGGAACACCGGUGGCGAAGGCGGCAUUCUGGACCGACAUUGACGCUGAGGAGCGAAAGCCAGGGGAGCAAACGGG